rnacentral:rRNA from 1 species
ACGCUCGACACCUACGGGGGCAGCAGUGGGGAAUAUUGCACAAUGGGGGGAACCCUGAUGCAGCGACGCCGCGUGAGUGAAGAAGUACUUCGGUAUGUAAAGCUCUAUCAGCAGGGAAGAAAAUGACGGUACCUGACUAAGAAGCCCCGGCUAACUACGUGCCAGCAGCCGCGGUAAUCUGAGGCGGGCUGGCAAGGC